GGCUGGUGUGAAUCCAUGGUGUUUAUAACUAAUAGAUUACAACCAGUGGCAGAUUUCUUUGUUCCUUCUCUACUCCCAUUGCUUCACUUGACUAGCCGCCG
rnacentral:Y_RNA from 1 species